AACGGCGAGUGAAGCGGCAACAGCUCAAAUUUGAAAUCUGGCCUUCGGGUCCGAGUUGUAAUUUGUAGAGGAUGCUUUUGGUGAGGUGCCUUCCGAGUUCCCUGGAACGGGACGCCAUAGAGGGUGAGAGCCCCGUCUGGUUGGACACCGAUCCUCUGUAAAGCUCCUUCGACGAGUCGAGUAGUUUGGGAAUGCUGCUCUAAAUGGGAGGUAUAUGUCUUCUAAAGCUAAAUAUUGGCCAGAGACCGAUAGCGCACAAGUAGAGUGAUCGAAAGAUGAAAAGCACUUUGAAAAGAGAGUUAAAAAGUACGUGAAAUUGUUGAAAGGGAAGCGCUCAUGACCAGACUUGGGCUUGGUUGAUCAUCCAGGGUUCUCCCUGGUGCACUCUUCCAGUUCAGGCCAGCAUCAGUUCGCUGUGGGGGAUAAAGGCUUUGGGAAUGUGGCUCCCUCGGGAGUGUUAUAGCCCAUUGUGUAAUACCCUGUGGUGGACUGAGGUUCGCGCAUUCGCAAGGAU
rnacentral:rRNA from 1 species